GGGUUGUGAGGUUAAGCGACUAAGCGUACACGGUGGAUGCCCUGGCAGUCAGAGGCGAUGAAGGACGUGCUAAUCUGCGAAAAGCGUCGGUAAGGUGAUAUGAACCGUUAUAACCGGCGAUGUCCGAAUGGGGAAACCCAGUGCAAUUCGUUGCACUAUCGUUAACUGAAUACAUAGGUUAACGAGGCGAACCGGGGGAACUGAAACAUCUAAGUACCCCGAGGAAAAGAAAUCAACCGAGAUUCCCCCAGUAGCGGCGAGCGAACGGGGAGCAGCCCAGAGUCUGAAUCAGCUUGUGUGUUAGUGGAACGGUCUGGAAAGUCCGACGGUACAGGGUGAUAGUCCCGUACACCAAAAUGCACAGGCUGUGAACUCGAAGAGUAGGGCGGGACACGUGGUAUCCU
rnacentral:rRNA from 1 species